rnacentral:misc_RNA from 1 species
UUGGUCCAUGUGCGAUUGAUGUCAUUGGUCCGUUUUGCCCCAUGUGCGAUUGAUGUCACUGGUCCGUUUUGGUCCAAUUGCGAUUGAUGUCGCCGGUCUGUUUUGGUCCAUGUGGGAUUGAUGUCACCGGUCCGUUUUGGUCGUUAGGUAGGUCGUUGCUAAGUAAUGGAUGCUGCUCAGAUGUUGCUUGUAAGGAAUGUGCUUUUGUUUCAUGACAAGACAUAUGUGCAGUUCAGUUAUAUUGUCAAGCCUCAAUAUGGACAAUAUUCCUGUUAUUAUGUCCAUGGUAUGACACUCGUUUUCUUAUUGGGCAAGCGCAUAUGUGACUUAAAACAAGUACCAAAUAUUCCAUUCUAUUCAUCUUUCCCUCCGUAGAUUUCCCGCAGCCCGAAAGACACCUAUUUACCAUGGGCAUGCAAUAGAUGUGCAAAUAUAUACUGAAUAUAUACAUAUCCAACAUCACAUCAUUCAGUAUUUCUAUUGUACAAUUAUGCCAUCUUUAUAUCGAUUUAAAAUUUAUCCGCCAGCAAAUUCACUCAUUUGAAUCCGAAAACCAUGCAGCGAUUUAACCUAAAAAUAACUAUGAAUUAUUCUGUACUUGCCAAUAUGAAAUUUACACCCAUAUUAUCAUGAACGACCUUAAAUCACCAACUGUGUGUUUGUGCUGAGUCGAGUGUGACCAGAUAAUUCGGCUAUUAUGCUAUAUUUAUUACACAGCAAGGACUUAUUUGUAUGCAAACGUGUAUGACAUUUGUUAUAUUUGGUAUUGACGGCCUACCACAUUGUUGUUUCCGGAAGUGAAGUCGAAGAAGAAAGAAUCUGUCGCUAUAACUGUCACUAACUGUCACUAUAAAUAAGAUGACUUGAGAUACCAAAUGUUAAAAGCAACGCUUUAAAUACCAGCUAAGAAAAACAGUGGCAAAGAACUUGGAUAGUUCGAUACUCGUUGUAAUGCUAAAUAGGAACUUGGAAAAAUGGGUGUUCAGGCUCCUGCUCGCGUGUGUCAUAUUCAUGUUGUAUACGACCAUAUGGGACUCUCAAAAUGUGGAUAUCGACGAUGGUACACAGACCGAUAGGAGAGCUUUGGUGGAGCGUGGCGGGGAUUUCAACGAUGUAGGUAAAGAGGAUACGAUUGAUUUUGACCCUGCGCCAGAAGUGAAUAAAGUUGAAGCUAUGCACCGUAUUACGGGAACGGUUGACUCAAUGCACAUAAGCCCUGCUCUACAACACAAGCUUUUCGCUAAACAAGAGCAAAUAUUCGCUCUGCCCCGCCCCGAUGACGCAACAUAUAAUGUGAAUGCGACCAAAAGUGAUGCUACACUACUCGACCGAGAAAUUGUUGACUCGAGGCCCGGAGCAUGCCAACGACGAAAGUACGCAACGGACAAAUUUCCAACAGCCACAGUUGUGAUACCUUUCUAUAACGAAGUCCUAUCGAUGUUAUUGAGAAGCGUCCAUAGUGUAUUGAAUCGUUCUCCUCCGAACUUAUUAUCAGGUGUAAUUUUAGUGGACGAUUACAGUGAGAAUGGCAACCUUAAAGAUCCUCUGGAUGAAUAUGUCAAGAUGCUUCCUAAGGUUAAGGUACUGAGGAACGAGAAACGGGAGGGAUUGAUUAGGUCGCGAAUCAGGGGAGCAAAAGAAGCACAUGGCGAGGUCAUUAUAUUCUUAGAUGCCCACACUGAGUGUAAUGUGGGAUGGUUGGAACCUCUACUAAAUGAGAUAUACCACAAUCCUAGAACAGUUCUCCAACCCAGUAUAGACGGCAUACACCAGUAUUCUAUCGGAUACUCGGGGCAAUCCGGACUUGUACCCCGAGCUGGUUUCUCCUGGGAUCUCAGAUUCGUUUGGAUGCCAAUGCCGUUUUACGAACACCAGCGGAGGCGUUCGGAAUACCAACCCUGGAGAACACCCGUCGUGGUGGGCUGUGCUAUUGCUGUGCAGAAAAAAUACUUCUUCGAUAUCGGUGCAUUUGACGAAGGCAUGGAUAUUUGGGGCGGUGAAAAUGUAGAGAUUGGCUUCAGAACUUGGAUGUGUGGGGGGCAAGUCUUAAACGUGCCUUGUUCGAGGGUAGGUCAUACUUUCAAGGAGAUUAACUAUGCCUUCGGUAAGCAGAAACCAGGAUGGAAGGUGGAAAAGGCUCGAGUUAUCCAAAAGAACGGAAUGCGAGUGGCGGAGGUGUGGAUGGGAGAUUUGAAAAAAUAUUUUUACGCUUCAACUCGAGUGUUUUCUGCUCGACGAGUUUCUUUCACAAAGGAUGAAUUAAAAAGUGUUGAAAAAAGGAAAAGGGAAAUGGCAAAACUGAAUUGCAAAAGUUUUGAUUGGUACAUUAAAAACAUAGUUCCAGAGAUGGAAAUCCCGCCUAGUGAUGCGAUCUUGUACGGGGAGGUACGCAACAGUAAGAGUACCGCUUGCUUCACCAUCAUGCCAGGAAAUAUUGUUGGGAUCACUUACUUUUGCUUCGUUCAUAGAAUCUUACCCGAAAAUAAUUUUUACAUUUCAAAAACUGGGAAUUUACAUCACAAAGACAAAUGCAUCCGAGUAGACAAAUACGAUAAACUACUCCACCUAACCACAUGCACCGAGGCUGUCAGGACGACAACUUUUAGUAUGGAGCCCCAUCAAUACCCAUGGGGUACUUUGGCUGUUAAACUCAAAGAUGGAGACAAGACGCUGAAAUAUUGCGUGACUCAAGUAAAGAGUAUGUUUGGAGAUCAUAAAGGAACACAGAUAGCUCAAGCAUUGGCCUGUAGCACGGACAAGGCAUAUCAAAAAUGGGAGUUCACUUAUAAGUUCGAUCAUUUAUGACAAUGUACACAUGUGCGAUAAGAACGUUUCCAAACUGGAAAAUGUCCUCACCCCUUUGCACGCGGAAUCUGGUCGUGUAUAAAUAGUUGGAUCUUGCCUGUAUCAGGCAUCGUAACAGUUGGUAAAAUGGAAGUUAUAAUAACUUUUGUACUAAUCAAAAUGAAAAUGCCAUAAGUCUUGUCUUAAAAAACUAGUUGGAUUUGCUAUUGUUGUAUUGUUUGAGAUCUGUUUCUGCGAAGAAGGCAUGGUUCAUCACCGUGGUGAUACCAUACCAUACCGCACCACACCAUACCACAGCACACCACACCAUACCACACCACACCUGGAUACUACUAAUCGAAAUAUCCACAAUCUAGAGAUAAAGUGGGCGAGUCUUACCAAAUUGUGUCACACUAUAAAUGUGACAAGAACAAUCUAUUUAUGUAAUUUUAUAACUUCAAACUAAAUGUUUAUUUGUAUAACUGAUCAAUCAGAGGUUUUAAUAAAGAAACAUAAUAAGCC